rnacentral:rRNA from 1 species
UACAGGGGGGCAAGCGUUGUUCGGAAUUACUGGGCGUAAAGGGCUCGUAGGCGGCCAACUAAGUCACACGUGAAAUCCCCAGGCUUAACCUGGGAACUGCGUGUGAUACUGGAUGGCUUGAAUUCGGGAGAGGGAUGCAGAAUUCCAGGUGUAGCGGUGAAAUGCGUAGAUAUCUGGAGGAAUACCGGUGGCGAAGGCGGCAUCCUGGACCGAGAUUGACGCUGAUGAGCGAAAGCUAGGGGAGCAAACGGG